rnacentral:rRNA from 1 species
UUAAGCGACUAAGCGUACACGGUGGAUGCCCUGGCAGUCAGAGGCGAUGAAGGACGUGCUAAUCUGCGAUAAGCGUCGGUAAGGUGAUAUGAACCGUUAUAACCGGCGAUUUCCGAAUGGGGAAACCCAGUGUGUUUCGACACACUAUCAUUAACUGAAUCCAUAGGUUAAUGAGGCGAACCGGGGGAACUGAAACAUCUAAGUACCCCGAGGAAAAGAAAUCAACCGAGAUUCCCCCAGUAGCGGCGAGCGAACGGGGAGCAGCCCAGAGCCUGAAUCAGUGUGUGUGUUAGUGGAAGCGUCUGGAAAGGCGCGCGAUACAGGGUGACAGCCCCGUACACAAAAAUGCACAUGCUGUGAGCUCGAUGAGUAGGGCGGGACACGUGGUAUCCUGUCUGAAUAUGGGGGGACCAUCCUCCAAGGCUAAAUACUCCUGACUGACCGAUAGUGAACCAGUACCGUGAGGGAAAGGCGAAAAGAACCCCGGCGAGGGGAGUGAAAAAGAACCUGAAACCGUGUACGUACAAGCAGUGGGAGCACGCUUAGGCGUGUGACUGCGUACCUUUUGUAUAAUGGGUCAGCGACUUAUAUUCUGUAGCAAGGUUAACCGAAUAGGGGAGCCGAAGGGAAACCGAGUCUUAACUGGGCGUUAAGUUGCAGGGUAUAGACCCGAAACCCGGUGAUCUAGCCAUGGGCAGGUUGAAGGUUGGGUAACACUAACUGGAGGACCGAACCGACUAAUGUUGAAAAAUUAGCGGAUGACUUGUGGCUGGGGGUGAAAGGCCAAUCAAACCGGGAGAUAGCUGGUUCUCCCCGAAAGCUAUUUAGGUAGCGCCUCGUGAAUUCAUCUCCGGGGGUAGAGCACUGUUUCGGCAAGGGGGUCAUCCCGACUUACCAACCCGAUGCAAACUGCGAAUACCGGAGAAUGUUAUCACGGGAGACACACGGCGGGUGCUAACGUCCGUCGUGAAGAGGGAAACAACCCAGACCGCCAGCUAAGGUCCCAAAGUCAUGGUUAAGUGGGAAACGAUGUGGGAAGGCCCAGACAGCCAGGAUGUUGGCUUAGAAGCAGCCAUCAUUUAAAGAAAGCGUAAUAGCUCACUGGUCGAGUCGGCCUGCGCGGAAGAUGUAACGGGGCUAAACCAUGCACCGAAGCUGCGGCAGCGACACUAUGUGUUGUUGGGUAGGGGAGCGUUCUGUAAGCCUGCGAAGGUGUGCUGUGAGGCAUGCUGGAGGUAUCAGAAGUGCGAAUGCUGACAUAAGUAACGAUAAAGCGGGUGAAAAGCCCGCUCGCCGGAAGACCAAGGGUUCCUGUCCAACGUUAAUCGGGGCAGGGUGAGUCGACCCCUAAGGCGAGGCCGAAAGGCGUAGUCGAUGGGAAACAGGUUAAUAUUCCUGUACUUGGUGUUACUGCGAAGGGGGGACGGAGAAGGCUAUGUUGGCCGGGCGACGGUUGUCCCGGUUUAAGCGUGUAGGCUGGUUUUCCAGGCAAAUCCGGAAAAUCAAGGCUGAGGCGUGAUGACGAGGCACUACGGUGCUGAAGCAACAAAUGCCCUGCUUCCAGGAAAAGCCUCUAAGCAUCAGGUAACAUCAAAUCGUACCCCAAACCGACACAGGUGGUCAGGUAGAGAAUACCAAGGCGCUUGAGAGAACUCGGGUGAAGGAACUAGGCAAAAUGGUGCCGUAACUUCGGGAGAAGGCACGCUGAUAUGUAGGUGAAGUCCCUCGCGGAUGGAGCUGAAAUCAGUCGAAGAUACCAGCUGGCUGCAACUGUUUAUUAAAAACACAGCACUGUGCAAACACGAAAGUGGACGUAUACGGUGUGACGCCUGCCCGGUGCCGGAAGGUUAAUUGAUGGGGUCAGCGCAAGCGAAGCUCUUGAUCGAAGCCCCGGUAAACGGCGGCCGUAACUAUAACGGUCCUAAGGUAGCGAAAUUCCUUGUCGGGUAAGUUCCGACCUGCACGAAUGGCGUAAUGAUGGCCAGGCUGUCUCCACCCGAGACUCAGUGAAAUUGAACUCGCUGUGAAGAUGCAGUGUACCCGCGGCAAGACGGAAAGACCCCGUGAACCUUUACUAUAGCUUGACACUGAACAUUGAGCCUUGAUGUGUAGGAUAGGUGGGAGGCUUUGAAGUGUGGACGCCAGUCUGCAUGGAGCCGACCUUGAAAUACCACCCUUUAAUGUUUGAUGUUCUAACGUUGACCCGUGAUCCGGGUUGCGGACAGUGUCUGGUGGGUAGUUUGACUGGGGCGGUCUCCUCCUAAAGAGUAACGGAGGAGCACGAAGGUUGGCUAAUCCUGGUCGGACAUCAGGAGGUUAGUGCAAUGGCAUAAGCCAGCUUGACUGCGAGCGUGACGGCGCGAGCAGGUGCGAAAGCAGGUCAUAGUGAUCCGGUGGUUCUGAAUGGAAGGGCCAUCGCUCAACGGAUAAAAGGUACUCCGGGGAUAACAGGCUGAUACCGCCCAAGAGUUCAUAUCGACGGCGGUGUUUGGCACCUCGAUGUCGGCUCAUCACAUCCUGGGGCUGAAGUAGGUCCCAAGGGUAUGGCUGUUCGCCAUUUAAAGUGGUACGCGAGCUGGGUUUAGAACGUCGUGAGACAGUUCGGUCCCUAUCUGCCGUGGGCGCUGGAGAACUGAGGGGGGCUGCUCCUAGUACGAGAGGACCGGAGUGGACGCAUCACUGGUGUUCGGGUUGUCAUGCCAAUGGCACUGCCCGGUAGCUAAAUGCGGAAGAGAUAAGUGCUGAAAGCAUCUAAGCACGAAACUUGCCCCGAGAUGAGUUCUCCCUGACCCCUUGAGGGUCCUGAAGGAACGUUGAAGACGACGACGUUGAUAGGCCGGGUGUGUAAGCGCAGCGAUGCGUUGAGCUAACCGGUACUAAUGAACCGUGAGGCUUAACCU